AGAGUACUGGUUUCUUGUGUUUCAGUUCUCUUCAUGCAAACAACUAUGGAUAUACAUGAUUAUAUUCAUAUUACAUUUAAAUUUUUUACUAUAUAUGCAUGUGUGUUAUGGGCUUUUUUCCCUUAAAAAUGCAAGAAAUUGUUUUUUUUACAGCUGCAUAUAGCUAGUAGCCUAUUAAUGGACAUUUGGUCCAUAUGUGAUUUUUCUUUGUGUAAAUAAUGCUUAAAUGCAUGCAUUAUUUCUCCUAUGUACAAGUAUGCCUGUGGAGUAAAUUCUUUAAAUUAGAAUUGAUACAUAAAGGGUACUUGUGACUUUUACUAGGUAUUGCUAAGCUGGCAUCCACGGAGGUUGUACUAGUACAUUUUGACCUGCAGUGUGUGACAGUGCUUCUUUCCUUACAUCCUUACCAACAAAGUCUGUCUUAGAACUUUUGAUCUCACCGCAACCUCUGCCUCUUGGGUUCGAGCGAUUCUCCUGCCUCAGCCUCCCGAGUAGCUGGGAUUACAGGCACCUGCCACCACGCCUGGCUAAUUUUUUGUAUUUUUAGUAGAGACGGGAUUUCACCAUGUUUGCCAGGCUGGCCUUGAAUUCCUGACCUCAGGUGAUCCGCCUGUCUUGGCCUCCCAAAGUGUUAGGAUUACAGGAGUGAGCCAUGCAACCUGAACGAAACUCCAUCUCAAAAAAAAAAAAAAAAAAAAGCCCUUCUGAUCUUUUCCAGUCUGAAAGAUAAAAAAUGGCAUCUAAGUGUGGUUUUUCAUGGGCACUGUUUUCAUUAUAAAUGCAUCUCUCUGACUCUGCUUUCGUUGCCACAUCUCUCACUCUCUUCUCCCCGCUUCUGCCACUUUUAGGGACACUUCUGAUCGCUCUGGGCAAUUUUACGGUGAGCCGAUUAGCAACAUUCAUUUCAUCUGCAGUUGGGCACCUUUUCAUGUUUCAUUGUUUUGCUUAUCCAUGGACUGCCUAUUUUUCUUUUGCUCUAUCAUUUUUUGUUAUUGAUUUGUAGGAGUUCUUUGUAUAUUAGAAAAAUGACUUGUUUGUUUGAGAUAUGAAUUACAUGUGCUUGGGCCUGGGGGUAUAGCUCGGGGUAGAGCAUUUGAUUGCAGAUCAAGAAUUACAUGUGCUCCCCCAUUGCCCCUCUCCCAAAGUUGUCAUGUGGAUUUGACUUUGCUUGUGAUGAUUCUUGUCUUGAAAAUACUAAAAUCUUAAAUUUUAUAUCAUAGAAUUAAUCUGCUUUUUCUUCUUGGUUUUGGGUUUUUGUGUCAUACUUGGGCCUUCCUUGCCUUGGGUGAAAAGACUUCUCCUGUGAUUUCUUCUGCCUUUAUGGUUUCAUUUAAAAUUUUACAUUUACAUAUUUGUGCCACUUGUAGUUUAUUUUGGUGUAAGAUAUGAUGUUUGGCUCUAUUUUUUUUUUUUUUCAGAUGACCUCUCAGUUAAUCCAACAUUAUCUUUUCCACAUUGAUUUAAAAUUCUAUCUUUAUCAUUAUAUAAUAAUUUCCUACAUGUAUCUGGUUUUAUUUCAGUUCAGUGUCUUUGGUCUGUUGUUUAUGUAUUAGAAUCAUACUGUUUACUAGCUUUAUGUUUAAAUACCUGGUAGGGACAGUUCCACUUCAUUAUUUUCCUGGCUAUUCUUAUUUGUUUUUCCAUAGAAACUUUAGAAUCAACUUGUUCACUUAAAAAGUUCCAACUGGUGGCUGGGCGCGGUGGCUCACGCCUGUAAUCCCAGCACUUUGGGAGGCUGAGGCAGGUGGAUCAUGAGGUCAGGAGAUCGAGACAAUCCUGGCUAACAUGGUGAAACCCGUCUCUACUAAAAAUACAAAAAAUUAGCCGGGCGUGGUGGGGGAUGCCUGUAGUCCGACCUACUCGGGAGGCUGAGGUGGGAGAAUGACGUGAACCUGGGAGAUGGAGCUUCCAGUGAGCCGAGAUCAUGCCACUGCACUCCAGCCUGGGCGACAGAGCUAGACUCCGUCUCAAAAAAAAAAAAAAAAAAAAAAAAAAAAAAAAAAGAAAAGAAAAGAAAAAAAA
ensembl:lncRNA